CCUACGUGAGGCAGCAGUGGGGGAUAUUGCACAAUGGGGGAAACCCUGAUGCAGCGACGCCGCGUGUGGGAAGACGGUCCUCUGGAUUGUAAACCACUGUCCCCAGGGACGAAGAUGACGGUACCUGGUGAGGAAGCUCCGGCUAACUACGUGCCAGCAGCCGCGUUAAUACGUAGGGAGCGAGCGGUGUCCGGAAUUACUGGGUGUAAAGGGAUCGUAGGCGGGACUGCAAGUUGGGUGUAAAAUCUACCGGCUCAACCGGUAGCCGCACUCAAAACUGCAGUUCGUGAGUGAAGUAGAGGCAGGCGGAAUUCCUAGUGUAGCGGUGAAAUGCGUAGAUAUUAGGAGGAACACCAGUGGCGAAGGCGGCCUGCUGGGCUUUUACUGACGCUGAGGCUCGAAAGUGUGGGGAGCAAACAGGAUUAGAUACCCCAGUAGUC
rnacentral:rRNA from 1 species